rnacentral:rRNA from 1 species
UACGGAGGAUGCAAGCGUUAUCCGGAUUUAUUGGGUUUAAAGGGAGCGCAGACGGGUCGUUAAGUCAGCUGUGAAAGUUUGGGGCUCAACCUUAAAAUUGCAGUUGAUACUGGCGUCCUUGAGUGCGGUUGAGGUGUGCGGAAUUCGUGGUGUAGCGGUGAAAUGCUUAGAUAUCACGAAGAACUCCGAUUGCGAAGGCAGGUCUCUGGGCCGUUACUGACGCUGAGGAGUGAAAGCGUGGGGAGCGAACAGG